CUGCUGAUCAAAGCAAUGUUGUUAGUAUGUUUAAACUUCUUUUGAGUUAACAACCUAUCUACUGUAUGCGACAGAUGAUAAGUUAAAAAUACUUCAAGUAUGUCAUUUUUUCUUUCAACUUUAGAGUCCUUGAGCAUUUUUUCAUCUAGUAGCUUUGUUGUAAGACUUUUCCUUUGAAUUCCUCUAGCUGACAAAAGCUUCUGUAGUAUAACAUGCCAGAAGCUCUUGCUAUUAAUCCCACUAUAGCACUUUAAUUGUAAACCAGAUACGAUAGCUCAUUUUCAGUGAGCAGGGAUACAGGUAGUGUCAGUAACGUAUCUGAGAUGCAUUAUGGUGUGAACUCUCAGACACCACUACAGGGUAACAUGGGCAGAACAAAAAUUAACACUAGUGUACUAAGAACGCAGGUACUAGCGCCAAACCACCCUUGUUCCCCUCAUUUUAGGAUUCCGGAAUGGGCAAACAUCGCCCAGACCAGUCGUGGGGAAUAUGGCUUCCUCAGGCUUGGAAGGUCUUAGGUGAAAAGGCAGAUAGUCUCUGCUAUUCCCACUCACAACACCACAGUAUGUUGUGCCUCCCAGCAGUAUGUGAAGUGCCAGAUGUUACUGAUGUUUUUUCUCACUUCUUUUCUCUGUGUGGGGGAAUGCACCUAUUGGAUGGCUGUUAUUUAAUAGGUUGAAAAUAAAAACUCACUGGCAUGCUCUUAAAACGUAUAUAAACACAAUGCAUAACUUUAUGAGGAUGUUUAAGACAACAAAGUCAAAGAAAUCCAUCUUAGAGGUGGAGCAGGAAGUGGUAAAAUGCUAAGGCAGUGGAAGCGAAGGUCUUAGACCUUCGCAGAAGUCCCAAGGAAGGGUCUGACUUCCAUGCAGGUGAGUUUUGACCUAAGAACCUCCCGUUGCACUGGAAGAUGGAGCUCAGCAAGCUGGUUGGGGGUAGAUUUCUAAUUAGCAGAAACCAUGGAGUGUAUCAAUGGUAAAUCUGGAAAUACAGCAUUCAAAAUGGCAUUUUAGGGAAGGCAGCAGAGAGUAGCAGGAAAGUAUAGUUUAGCUUGCUGAGGGGAUUUGCAGUAAUCGGACAGAACCAUCGAGACCCAAGGAGAUGUCCUAAGCCCUGAUGACUGCCUGCUCAUGAACAUCACCCGGCUGCAGCUCACUAGGGAGAUGACGAGGGUGUGAAGGACUGACGGCAGGCCAUUGCCCACCAGAAGGGGACAACCUCUGAGCCAGCACUGACUGAAAACAGCUAGGACAAAAGCUGCAGUGUGAUGCAGCAAAGCACACGUAUGAAUGCUGCGAUGAAAAAUGAUGCAGUCUAGCAUCAGUAAGAAAGCCACUGGCACUAAUCCCAUCCUAGCUGAAUUAGUUCAUCAGUGAAGGCUGCACUAUGGCUGCAGAGGCUUCAGAAAGAGCCACACUGCCCAGUCUCACAGGAUCUGUCUCGUGCAGUUAGUCCUCAUCCAUGACCUGAUCCCACACAAAGACUGGAUCUUCCGGAUAAUGAGGAGCCAUGUGUACAGUAAAUGGCUUUGCCUCCGUUGCUAGCACUUCAGCCCAUGCCAUCUGGCCAGCUUGCCAUGGGACUUCACAGAGAAACUGAAAAGAGAUGGAGAAAGAAUUGAGCCCUUGGGUCUCCAUGGACUCACAGGAGAAAGAUGAGGCAAGGUGCAGUAGCAGCUCCUUCUAUCUGGAAUAGAUAAUCAAUAUAAUUCUUAGAGCAAGGAGAAGAACACACUUUCCAGUCCAACAGGAAUGAGAAAAUAAUGAACAGGAAAACCACAUCAAGCUAAAAAUGUUUUAUGCAUGCAGCGGCAUUCCAAGGAGAAGAUUACUUAAGGAUAAAAAUGUUAUCUGUGUCUCAAGACAUGGUCCAUCUUCCAAUGGAGACCCAAGAGAGCAAAAGAAAAAUGUCAGCAAACUAAGAACUGGCAAUGGACCAGGAAAAGAAGCUAAAAUGCUUCAUAAAAUAGCCUCAGUCAGCCACGGAGACCAAUUAGGCUAUGCUAUAACAAGGAUUACUGAACUGUAAUUAUUAUUUAUUCAAAUCAGUGGAAGAAUUACUGUGGCUUACGUUAAAGACAAUAGAAGCUAAUGGAGGGAGAAGCAGAAGAGACCAGCAGUGAUUUCGACAGCACGUUGUCAGCCACACAAGCAGUAUAAAAGCACCCAUCUAACUGACAGCCUGAAAUAGGGGCCUACUGAUAUUUGCUUGUGAGUCAUUCGUUUCAAGCAUAUUUUCAAACACAACCUCUCUUUAAAGAAAUAUCCUUGGAAAAAGUGUAUGUAUGAUACGUACACUGUAGAAUUAUUAAUUGGUGGAUGAAAGAAACUGGCAGGAAAAAAGCUAGAGACGUUAUUUGCCUACUAUAUUCACUAUAUUUAAAAUGUGGGGGGUUUUGCUCAUUCACUAAAGGACUCAAGACUGCCUGAAUGCUGAAAAUUCCCAUCUGCAUUUUUAACCCACCAAUUACUUGCAAGCCGCAAUCCUACAAUCCAAGAUAAUUUCAGUGGAAUUUUAAUUUCCCUGAAAGCUUACAACAUUGCCAAAACAAAACUGCGUCCAUCUGAACUGCCAGUCCGCCUAAGGGCCUGGUUGCCCGAAUCUCCUUCCUUCCUCACGCACUGCAACUGAGGGACUAUCACGGCUGGUGCAAUCUACAGGGCCAUCAGGGUGUAUCGCAGGCAUUUCCUCCCACCAAAAAGCUCGACCUAGAGAUAAGCUGGCUGCUGUAAAAUAAAGUAACAAAACAACAGCCAAGAUUGCCGUUAUUCUGAUCUAGAAUGAACCGCUUUAAUUCAGUUUAACCAAAAAGUUUUGCUGGUCAAUGCAAACAUAUUUCAUUUCCAGUUUUCCCAACUGGGAAAAAAAAACAGAUUUCUGCGGGAAUUGUUUUGGCUUUUGGUUGUCCU